rnacentral:lncRNA from 1 species
CAGCCGUUGGCCCCGGCGGGGGUGAAAACGAGGGGAAAGGACUGGGCUCGCGUCUCUCAGGGGGCGGGAAGAGGAAGAAAAAAACACACGCCCGCUUUCCUGAUGCGUUUACGGGCCCCACCGUGAAGGCUAGCGUUCGGGAGCCUGCUGCUGCUGUUGUUUUCCCCAGUGCCGCUUUCUCUUCUGUUGCCGAAGUUUAGGCCUAACCUAAACGGGCCGCUUCCUAACCGCCACCAACCAGAGUUUCGGGACUCAAACCUUACAGAUUACUCCCCUGCCCCCAUCAACCCAAGCUAUUAAUCUUGCCUCUUGCUCGCUCCACCAUAGCGCAUCUUCCCACCAGGAAGGGGCACAGCUGGCUACACCGGGGUGUGUCUGUACUUUUCAAGAAAUGUCCAGAGUUCUGUGACCGUGUUUUCUGAGCUCCAACUCAUGAUAUGUGAUGAGGAAUUUUUCUGAGGACCUAUACCAGCUCUAAGUUCAACUCCCUGAGACUGAAGUAAAGAUUCUUUCUGCCUACCUGUUUGCCUUGGCCAGUACAUUUAUUGAAUCCAACCAUCACAUAUGACAAAAUAUAACUUGUAGGUGUUAUGUGUGUGUGUAUUUGCAUGGAUCAAAUAUAUUUCUUAUGUCCGUAAUAAUAAUAUUAUAAUAAACAUUUAUGCUAAGUACUACUCUAAAUGCUUUAUAUUUUAUCUUUCCAUUAACCCUAUUAAGUAAGUACUACUAAUACUUACAUCUUAUAGGUGAGGCAAUUGAGGCUCAGAGGGGUUGAGUGAAUUGCUCAAACCUUCACAGCUGUAAGAGGCAGAACCAGGAUUCAAAGUUAUCUGGCUCCAGAGCCUGUGCUCUCUUAAUGCUUACGCUCAUACAACUGUGAAUAUCAAAAUCCAUUUAUUAAUGGAUUGAAGCAAUACACAUGUACAGAGACCAAACAAGGAGAGUGGGGCAGUUACUAAAGAAAUAGGAUUUGGGACAUCGUUAUGUAAAUUCCAGGUUUUCUGUCAUGUCCUCAACUAAAGGGGAUACCGUAUUGAAUACUUCUGGGUUAUUCUCUUUCCUAUGUUACACUUACUCAUAGCAGUCAUUCAAAAUUUUCGUUGUUGAUUCGUUGCCUAGGGAGGCCUGAGAACUUUCAGAACUAGAAGACAGCAAAUAAGGAAUACAUUAUUUCUAUUGCCAGGAACUUUACUUUCUGACCCCUAACCCAAUGGUCCAGUCUCAGGGCAGGAUGAGACAUAAGAAGAUAUUCAAAUACCAAAGUAACUAUGGAAAUAGGAGGAACAAAGAAGAAUUCUUGAAAGUCUCUAGGUAAAGAUAAAAGGAAAACAGAAUAAAGAAGAUCUCACAGCAGGGGCUUGUGACAGAUCUCCAAAUCAGGAAGUCAGGGAAGAUGAAGUGGAACGAAGCCAAAUCUCCACAUCCAGAGAGAUGGCCCAUAGAUUUCAACUACCCAGUUAACUUUCAGAUAACUCACUCAAGAGAACAGAACUGGAAAUGUACAAAGCAUAAGUUUAAUUCUCUCAGUAAAUGAUGCAGAAAGAGUAGCAAGAAUUUUGACAAUGGUCUCACACCCGGAAGAAGAUUUUAUAGACUGCCUGAAUGUCUUAACCUGGAGAAGAACGAUCCUGGAUUAGCCAAAGUCUAAGGCAUUUCUGUCAGGCGUCCUCAUGAGCAAAUUCAAGACAGGAUGCUGCAGGCAUACUAAGCCAAUUGGAAGCGUGUUUGGGGCCUUGAUUACUACCUGUGUGUACCUUGCUAAGCAGGACCUCAUGGAUGAGUCUGCUACCAAGUCAAUGACAUAUAAAGUGCACUGAAUUUCAGAAAGAAAGAUUUUUCUGUGUGCCGUAAAUCUUGUAAUAAUAUUUGUCAUUAGCUCAAGCACUGAUCCAUAGUGCAAAGGAAAUUUACACUUCCACUCAGUAAGACAGAUUUUUAUCUUCUUAAAUCUUGGUACCAGAGGCCUAAAGAAAAAUAGCCAAGCAAAAAAAUGUAAGGUUGAAUGGCCUUGUUUAUUCAUCUCUGUGACAUUCUCAUAACAACUCAACAGUGACAAUGAGCCUGGAGGGUCAGCAACUCUUUGCAGUGGGCACUUGUUGUGGUAGCUCCACGAUGCAUGCUUCCCCUUCUCUGAGGAGCUGCCAACAUGCACCCAUAUGUCCUCUCCUCACCCUGCCCUGACAGCCAUCUCAGUGUUAGGAAAGAGCCCCUGGAGCAUGGUUUAUCAAUUCAGGUCUGUCAUCUGAUCUAAAGUCAGCUGAUCAAUUUGUCUCCCUCAUGAAUUUGAAAUGUUGCCAGAGGAGCAACUGUGUUAUUGGAAGUUGUUAGUAUCUGAGACACAUUGCAAUGCUCUUGGGGGAAGGCCUACAACCUCCUGCAGAAGAAAUACGUGGAAUUGCCCUAGCCAUUUUGGAGCCGCGGUUUAAUUCCUUCUUUGAUUCUAUGAGAUAUUCCAGUAUUCUUGCAAUAAAUUCCCUGUUUUUGCUCAAAGUAUUAGAGUUGGUUUCUUUUUCUCUUUUUGUUUGCUUGUUUUGUUUUUUGUUUCUUUCUUCUUCUCCCCAAAGGACCCCAGUACAUAGUUGUAUAUUCUAGUUGUGAGUGCCUCUGGUUGUGCUGUGUAGAACGCUGCCUCAGCGUGGCUUGAUGAGCAGUGCCAUGUCUGCGCCCAGGAUCUGAACUGGUGAAAACCUUGGCCACCGAAGCAGAGCAUGUAAACUUAACCACUCAGCCACCAGGCCAGACCCUAGAGUUGGGUGCUGAUACUUGUUAUCAAAAGAAACUUACUAAUAGAAGACAGCCACAACCAUGCCUGAACAGUUAGAAGAAAAUGGUUUAUCUGGAUGCCAUUUCAUUCAUUCAUUGAUUCCUUCAAUAGUCACUUAUUGAGGAUCUAUUAUAUGUCAAUCACAGAGACAGGCACACAAAUAAGACAGGAGGAGGUGUGGGGAGACAGUCUUGCAAACAUGUAAUUACACUAAAUUGUGAUAAUGUUCUAGUAGAGAUACUUACAAAGUGAUGUGGGAGUACAGAUAAGAGCGUGAAUGAACUCUCUGGGUAGGUUGGGGAACUAGGGUUAAUCAGCUUGGAGAAGGAUUUAAGCUAAGGACUCAAUCAAAGCUAUAUGGAAAAUUCAAUCUCAUUCCAUUACAGCGGCAGCAAAUGAAGAAUUUCUACAUAGAGGCCGAAGACCAGCUGUUCUCAAUAUCCACUCAGCUCUGCCGAGUGGAAACUGAUUUGAACAGCAGCAUGAGAGACUUAAAUAAUAUGCGGAAGAAUUUCCUGACAGUGAAAGUUGUUAAUGUUGGGAGAUUGUAGAAUCUUCUCUGGAG